rnacentral:rRNA from 1 species
GCAGUCGAGCGAUUUACUUCGGUAAAGAGCGGCGGACGGGUGAGUAACGCGUGGGUAACCUGCCAUAUACACACGGAUAACAUACCGAAAGGUAUGCUAAUACGAGAUGACAUAAGAGAUUCGCAUGGAUUUCUUAUCAAAGCUUUUGCGGUAUAGGAUGGACCCGCGUCUGAUUAGCUAGUUGGUAAGGUAACGGCUUACCAAGGCGACGAUCAGUAGCCGACCUGAGAGGGUGAUCGGCCACAUUGGAACUGAGACACGGUCCAAACUCCUACGGGAGGCAGCAGUGGGGAAUAUUGCACAAUGGGCGAAAGCCUGAUGCAGCAACGCCGCGUGAGCGAUGAAGGCCUUCGGGUCGUAAAGCUCCGUCCUCAAGGAAGAUAAUGACGGUACUUGAGGAGGAAGCCCCGGCUAACUACGUGCCAGCAGCCGCGGUAAUACGUAGGGGGCUAGCGUUAUCCGGAAUUACUGGGCGUAAAGGGUGCGUAGGUGGUUUCUUAAGUCAGAGGUGAACGGCUACGGCUCAACCGUAGUAAGCCUUUGAAACUGAGAAACUUGAGUGCGGGAGAGGAGAGUAGAAUUCCUAGUGUAGCGGUGAAAUGCGUAGAUAUUAGGAGGAAUACCAGUUGCGAAGGCGGCUCUCUGGACUGUAACUGACACUGAGGCACGAAAGCGUGGGGAGCAAACAGGAUUAGAUACCCUGGUAGUCCACGCCGUAAACGAUGAGUACUAGCUGUCGGAGGUUACCCCCUU